UGAAGCUACGGCCAUGGUGGAAUACAUCAAACGACACCGCCAACAAUCGAAAGCACGUUUCAUUCAGUGUCAUUCAUUCAUUACCUCGGGUUUGUUCGCGAAUUUUCAUGAUUUUAGACAGAUAAAUGUCUCGUUUUUAUGGAUGAUAGAGCCUCAAUAGCUUCAAUGAAGCAUUCUUCAUCUUCCUCUGGUAAUAGCAGCUCUGACGAACCUGCUCCUAGCAGACAAAAAGUUCUAUUUGUAUCCGAUCCGUAGUCGAGGUUCCAUGACAAUGACGUCGGCGAAAUCCCCAGACACAAUGACAACAACAAACAACAGUGGCCACGUGAGGUGUGUGAAUUUGCCCAUACAAGUGACUAAAAUCGCUGUUUAUAUACAGUAGAACCUCCUUUAGCGGACACCUCUCUACUAAGGACAACCUCUCUAUUAAGGACACUAGUUUUGGUCCCAAAUUGGUUGUUGCCAUUCAAUUUGACCUCUCUUAUCAGGACACCACUCUUUUAGGGACAGCACUUGUCAGUCCCGAGGGUGUCCUUAAUAGAGAGGUUCUACUGUACAUGCCAAUUUGGACCCUCAUGAAAAGUGAAUUCAGUAUUUUUCAACCCCCAACAACAAUUUUGGCUGGAAGGGACACCUGUAUAGCUGCAUAAAUGUCAGUUGUGCGGAUGUUUUUGUUUUCAUGCAGAAGUUUUAUAAAACCAUGCUUGUUUUUGAGUCGAGUGCCCUCCAAUCACAGUUUUCUUUGAUUCAUCUCACAUUCCCGAAGAGAGGUUAUGACUUUUGAACAUCUACAUGCCUGAUUUUCCCCGAUAACUGGCGCCACUGUCUAAUGAAAGCCUGUAGGCUUAUAUACUUAGUCGCAUCCAGGAGACCUGAACAUAGGCCUAUUUCUGUUACUUGUAUUAGUUUUGAACAGUGGUGGUAACAGGCUUACAACUUAAACACACCUAGUUUAUCUUAUUGGGCAAUAAACUGCCAGCUAUACCAUCAUCAAUUUGUCAGUCCAAUAUAUAUAGGCCUUUUGUCAUCCUGACACAACCAGUAAUUUACUCAGCUUCUUGAUAUUUUUGUAUACAAGGUAGCAGUAUCAAAAACCUGAUCUCAGAAUGCGAUCUUGUCAGCUUAGUCAUAUUGUGGACUUGCUAUCAUGUCUAUAAUAUCAUCCAAAAAUGAAUGAAAAUUAAAGUGUUUCAGAAAAAUCUAUUGAGUCGCCUCUACCCCGGCAGUGAGGAUGAGCAGCAAACAGUAAAGGUCGGGGCUGAAAACAGAGAUACUCUUCCUAAAGUUCGAGUCUGUUUACCACCAAAGGAUUAUACAGUGAAGUUACCGCCAAAAGGUUUGCCUGAGGACAGACUGCAAGAUAAGACCGAAUCGGACAGUUUGUCCGAGGAUGAGGAAGUUGAUGCUCCUCACAAGAAUAAGAGAAAGAGACGUCGUGGUCGUAGCAGUUCUAAAAUUAGUUCCGGUUUAUCGCCAGAGGUGGAGCCACAAUCCUCCAGAAGAAAAGAGACUUUAACUCUGACAAAGAACCAAAAACGUAAGCAGAAAAAGAAGCGAAGAAUAAAGGAACGAAAGGAAGAGAGUAGUGAAAAGAAAGGAGAAUUUGUUUAUGAAGGCUAAGAGGAUCUUGUUAUAGAGGUUCUGUACAUUUCCUUGGUACAUCAUUAAGAAAGCUAUACUCCUCACACUCACUGCCCCAGAACUAGAUGUAUUUCUGACGUUCCACUACUGCUAAAGCUGGCCACCAUUACUGAAACCUUGGGAGUGUGUGUAGAUAAAAGAAUCUGCGAUGCAAUCAAUCUGCCACAAAUUAAUUAAGGGCCUACGCAACCUGCAGGCAAGUGGUUUUCCUAAUUACUGUUACCGACUCCUACUGUAGCAUAGGCCUAAAAUCAAAUGGAAACUAGGAAUCUGCUAAAUGUUGUAUUACCUUUGGGCUUUUCUGUCAUACAAAUCAUGAGACUUAUAUUAACUUCAUUUGUUAACAUGCAAAUAUAGAUAUAAUGAACAACUGAAACAACAACUUAUUUGCAAAUAUUGUUUAUUUGGA